rnacentral:tRNA from 1 species
ACUUAAAUAGUUUAUAGAAAAUUUUAAUUUGUGGUGUUAAAGAUGUAUAGUGAUACUUUAAGUU